GUGGAUCAGACAGCGGCUCGCAUGGACGCGACUCUCCUUCCUUCCCUUCAAUCAGCGGCGGCAGGCUGGAGGAUCUAAAGCGACCAAACAGAGAGAGAGAGAGGGAGAGAGUGUAUGUGUGCACCGGUUAAAAAUGCGGGUGGAUAAAAAAUUAACCGGGACGCUGAAGACUGAGGAGCGCGAGGCAACCGUAGAGAGAGAGAGAGAGAGAGAGAGAGAGAGAGAGAGAGAGCAAGCAACAACAAUAGGAGAGAGAAAGAGAGAGAGCAAGGGAGAGGGAGAGUGGCUGAGACACACGACACACGCCACCUAUCUUCACACGGAGGGAUAAUGGAGGAGUGCGCAUCUCAUGGGAAGCGUCAGAAGUUUGUUGCUUUUUUAUUCUUCAUCUUCUUCCGUUUUUUUUUUUAAAUUAUAAAGAAGUCACAUUUCCACUAACGUUAGUGUUAAAUCUGGACUUUCAUAAUGUCCCAUAACUCGUUUCUUGUUUCUUAAUUUCUCUUAAAAACUAAUCAGGAUCAAACAACUAGGAUUGGAAUUUUUUUCCUUUUAAUUUAAAUAUUUUUUUGGUCUUCGUUGGUUGAAUAACUUUGGCCUCGUCCCAGAUUGCACGUCAGUUUUUAACCACAGAUUAGAAGAUUUUUCCACUGAUUGUGUUCUACGCUGUUUAGUAGUUUAGUGUGCGGUUUGGGACGGAGCCUGUUAGUCUUUUAAACGCGGUGCCUCGUGCUGCCUUCAUGCGCGACAGGAUUUGUGGUCAAUACGAGUUUCCGACUUAACAGUUGCGCGUCCGUUCAAGCCGCACUAAAAGAAUCAAAAUAAUGCAAAAUAUCAAAUAUCAUACCAGAGUUGUUGACUUGUCUCAAAGCGCCAUUGUCAGCAUGAGAGAGGAAUUCGGUGGACUGUGGUAGGUCAUUCUAUUCAUAUAUAUUUAUAUAUAUAUAUAUAACAUUUUUAUUAAUAAUAUUAUUCAAUUACUUUUUGGGUUUCUGAUUUUUUCCCCUAACCGUUGGAUGUAAUGUGAAGAUUUUUCUGUCAGCCUGUGAAAUAAAGAAGAUGCUGAAAUAAUCUAUAGUUGCUAUCUAACUUGAAUGCGCAAUUAUUUUUUUUAAUUCAAUUUGAAGGUGCAUGUGAAUAUAGCGUCAGGAUUCUCCAGCACGCGCAAGUAGAUUCCAGGUGUGACAGUGAGUUUUCUUUUAAAUUAAUUUAAUAUAUAUUUUUUAUUUUUUAAUGUUUUAAUAGUGUACAAUUAUACAUUUCUGCUCUAUCUAUCUAUCUAUCUAUCUAUCUAUCUAUCUAUCUAUCUAUCUAUCU